GACGAACGCUGGCGGCGUGCUUAACACAUGCAAGUCGAACGGUAAGGCCCUUCGGGGUACACGAGUGGCGAACGGGUGAGUAACACGUGGGUGAUCUGCCCUGCACUUCGGGAUAAGCCUGGGAAACUGGGUCUAAUACCGGAUAGGACCCUGGGAUGCAUGUCCUGGGGUGGAAAGCUUUUGCGGUGUGGGGUGGGCCCGCGGCCUAUCAGCUUGUUGGUGGGGUGAUGGCCUACCAAGGCGACGACGGGUAGCCGGCCUGAGAGGGUGACCGGCCACAGUGGGACUGAGAUACGGCCCAGACGCCUACGGGAGGCAGCAGUGGGGAAUAUUGCACAAUGGGCGCAAGCCUGAUGCAGCGACGCCGCGUGAGGGAUGACGGCCUUCGGGUUGUAAACCUCUUUCAGCACCGACGAAGCGCAAGUGACGGUAGGUGCAGAAGAAGGACCGGCCAACUACGUGCCAGCAGCCCAGUAA
rnacentral:rRNA from 1 species